rnacentral:misc_RNA from 1 species
GAUGAAGAACGUAGUGAAAUGCGAUAAGUAAUGUGAAUUGCAGAAUUCAGUGAAUCAUCGAAUCUUUGAACGCACAUUGCGCCCCCUGGUAUUCAGGGGGGCAUGCCUGUCCGAGCGUCAUUACAACCCUCAAGCUCAGCUUGGUGUUGGGCCCCGCCGCCCCGGCGGGCCCUAAAGUCAGUGGCGGUGCCGUCCGGCUCCGAGCGUAGUAAUUCUUCUCGCUCUGGAGGUCCGGUCGUGUGCUCGCCAGCAACCCCCAAUUUUUUUCAGGUUGACCUCGGAUCAGGUAGGGAUACCCGCUGAACUUAAGCAUAUCAAUAAGCGGAGGA